rnacentral:rRNA from 1 species
UACGGGGGGAGCAAGCGUUGUUCGGAUUUACGUGGGCGUAAAGGGCGCGUAGGCGGUCGUGACAAGUCACUUGUGAAAUCUCCGGGCUUAACUCGGAACGGUCAAGUGAUACUGUCGGACUAGGGUACAGAAGGGGCAACUGGAAUUCGUCGGUGUAGCGGUGAAAUGCGUAGAUAAUCGAGAGGAACACCUGCGGCGAAGGCGGGAUUGCCUGGGCUGAUGA